UCAUAUGAAAGAUUCGUUCAUUUUGAACAGCUCUGUCUUUCUGUGCGAAUUCAGUUUCACUUAAAUUCGCUGUUUUUCUCUGAUUGUGUUUGUCGACAGUGCUAUCCAAUCGCGUCCUCGUACCAUGACCGAACAAUCAGCGCUACUUCUUCGAAAGCAACUGGCAGAACUCAACAAAAAUCCUGUGGAGGGCUUUUCAGCUGGCUUGAUCGAUGAUGAUGACAUAUACAAAUGGGAAGUCGUGAUCAUUGGUCCUCAAGACACUCUUUUUGAAGGAGGGUUUUUCAAAGCAUACCUUACCUUUCCUUAUGAUUAUCCUUUGCGGCCUCCAAAGAUGAAGUUCAUCACUGAAAUCUGGCAUCCAAAUGUGGCAAAGAACGGGGAUGUUUGUAUUUCAAUUCUCCACGAACCAGGAGAAGAUAAGUUUGGUUAUGAAAAGCCGGAGGAGCGCUGGCUUCCAAUCCACACAGUAGAGACUAUCAUGAUUAGUGUCAUCUCAAUGCUUGCAGACCCCAACAGUGAUUCACCCGCUAAUGUGGACGCUGCUAAAGAGUGGAGGGAGGAUCCAAACGGGGAAUUUAAGAGGAAGGUUGCUCGCUGUGUAAGAAAAAGUCAAGAGAUGGUGUUUGAUUAGGAGUCAGUUGUAAAUUCCAGGUUAAAGGAUGCCUUCAGAGGGAAAAUUUCAGUGAAAGGCUUUUGCACCCCUCGUUUUGCCAGGCACAGGAAGUGGUCAACAUUGACCACGUCGUUUUGAAUGGUUGUCGUUUUCCGCAAGUUGAGCCAAUUUGAAGAAAAACCUACCAGCGAAAUUAACCUGUUUCCUACCUGGAAUUGUAUGUUUAAUUUUAUUUAUUUAAAAAAAAUAUUAUGUAAAAUAUGUCACUUCUGUACAUUAACUUGCUUUUUUAUCUGCUGCUGAACAGUUUCUCCUUUAUACCAGGUUUCUUAUGCAAUUAAGUGGUCAAGGUUGUGUAAAACAAAACACCCAUUUUGCCAUUGGGUCAUCACCCAUCCUCCUGGUUAAUGUCAGCCCCCAUCAUUUCUGUCGUGUAAAAAAUGUUUUCCAAAGCCAACACAGUCAAUGAGUCACCGUUCCUUUUCAUUGGCUUCACUUUUCCCCACCUUGUUAGUUAAGAAGGGCAAGAUGAAAAUUGGUGUUGGUUUGGUAGUUUGUCUGUUUAAGAAACAGCCUACUGUUAGCGUUUCUAGUUAUGAAAAUGAAUGUGAGGAAGACCUUUGAUGGAUCUGAGCUCUUGUCACUUGUGAAGUGAUUCCAGGGUCAUUGUUUCCUUGCACAUUCAAGAACAGAGCUAAUUCUUUCAACAAAGAUGUUGUGCCAACUUCUCAGGUUAAAACCUUAAAGAGGAUCUAGAUUAGCCAUCAGUGAAACCAACCCUGAAAUUCUCUGACCCCUAACACACAAAAACCCUCCGGCACCUUUUGUUAAUGAAGAUGUGUAUUGCUAAUUUUCUGGUCACAAUUACAAAUCAUAGACAACCUGAACCAAUCUCUGAAUAUAACUCAAGCUGUGAUUACUCCAUGUGUCUACUGGUGAAGUGCUUUCUGACCUUACCUCAGUUUCAGAGAACAAACUUAUUUGAUGAGGUUAGUGUGUUUAAGUGGGUCAUGUUAGGGUCUCCAUGGUAGAGUUAAGGCUGUUUGCGCUUAGAUUGAGUUAUUAAUUUUGUUUUAUGUGUUUGGCUAAAUUCUGAAGUUUCACAUGCACUUAUGAGUUUAGAAUUGUAUGGACUUCUGGUAGAUUUGCUUCUUAAAUGUCUUAAAUGUGGACAACAUCUUGAAUUUAGUUGAAGACCGGUGUUGCAAGAUAUGGAAUAUUGUACCAGCAGCCUAAAUGUAAUAAUAUUUUGAGGAGAAUAAUAGUAUACACCAAAUUCUCCAUCUGACUUGGCUCAGGACAAUCUGCUCUGGUAACACAUUAUAGACUGUGCAUAUUAAAGCUUAUAAUGUGGUUUUACCUACAACACAUGCAGUGAGCUCUUUGUAUGUCAUUUGCAGCAUUAGAUACAUCUUGUAUAAUUGGCUGUAAGGUGGCAGUGGAGACAGUGUGUGAAAAUGAGUGCAUUAUGUACAUGAGGGAACUUAAUUGUGAAAUUUAGCAAUGUAUAGUACAUUAUGGUAGUUUUUAAAAUGAUUGAUCGUACAGAGGUCAAAUUUAUUGAACCAAAUGAUAACUAAUGUACAACUGGCAACACUGUCGCACACUACAUCGGACAUGGACAUAGAAAUUAGGCAGCGAUUUACUCCACCAUGCACGUCAUUAAGAAUUUUACUGGAAUGUUAUGGUUUCCGUUGCUUUUUUUUUUUUCAUUGCAAAAACUUUGUAUGUAACUAUGUUCUUAUUUUCCAAAAACAGCAAAUAAAGCACUACACUAUUAUGACAAUACCCCAGAUGCAUCAUUUGUCUGCUGCCAGGCUACUCAUAAAUGAUACAACCUUCAAUUACAAACCGUAUCUACUCCUAUUUAUUGUCACUGAAGGGCAUUCUCUCAGUAAACAAUCAUAUUAUACAAUGCUGACAUAUUGAAAUUGGAGAAUCUCUGAAAAUUGAUACUCAUACCAUGUUAUUAACAAAACUUGUAUUCAUAGAGUAACUAUGGAAACCAGAACCUUCCACAACUACACUUUAAACAUAGGAUUGCAGAUUUAUUGCUUUAAAAUGUGUAAUGAAUGGUCUGUUUACACCUGGACCUGUAAUUCUUUUGAAGAUGCAUGCUGGGAAGUGAAAAUUAUUUUACCUUCCAGAGAACAAUCUCCAUAAUUGACUGUGGCGGAGUCUGGAAUCCACUGGCUUGAACACCCACACGUUGACAUUUAUACAUAAAUAUUAGUUUUUUAAGCAUGAAUUGGAUUGAAGCAGUUGUGGCCUGAGGGUGAACGUGAUAUGUUGGACUGCAUGGUAUUUGAGAAAAUAUGCAAUAUUGUUGAAUUUUGCAAUAUUAUUGUAAGAAGCAUGAAUGACCAAGCACAGUUGUUGAUGGUUGGAUGCAGUCAAUGGCCAAAACCUCGUCAUCUGAAAGAAAUUUGGACAAUCUUGUUCUUUUUAUGUUUGUGAACUGGCGACCCAUGUUAUGAAAUUCAGUUUAUUACCCUUCAAAGAACAACUCUGAAGUGGAUAUUAAUGUUCCAAUACUUCAGUGUUGGGAGCUUUGCCUCUUGCUCAUAGCUUCUCUUGCUGUUUUAAAGUUGUCAUAUAACUCUGCCAUCCGUCGUUGUGUCAAAAGAGAUCAGUUUUGGUUCCGGAAGAGUUGCACAUAUUUGUGAUUUGUCCUUCAGCUUACAUAUCAUCUGUAGAUGGUGGUAAACAGAUCCAUCUGCUUGACCAGAAAUACUGGUCCUAAAGGUGUGAAUGCAGAGAAUAUUGAUAUAUACUAUUUAUGGCAGACCUCACAUUCUUCUGAAAUGUGUCUAUUGUGUUUUUCAAUAUGACAAUGUUGGUAAGUUGUUUUUCCGUUUUAUUGUGCAGUCUUUUUGUGUACACAAAGUAGACUUCUGUAGAUUGAUAAUCACAUAACUGCUGUUGACAUUAGUUUUUUGUUUUUUUGUCUUGAUUUUUCUAACCUACCAUGACCUCUUCUGACCGGUGUUCACUGUAUUUGCACAGAUUCAGUGCGUUUGAAAUUACAUUAAGCAAUACGCUGUGAAAAUUGUGUCCAGGUUUAUCCUCUUUAGCCAUUAUUUGUUUUUGGGUUUAUUUGUUUGUCUGGUUUUCAUUAUGUGUCAAUGCAAUGUAUAUUGGACACGAUGCUCAAUAAAGUGUGUAAACAGAGUGGCUUGUAAUUGUGUUUGUGCUCUACAUUUUAGAAGAGAACACAGUAUGUCUUCAGGUAAAUCAGACCCCUGCUCUGUAAUUGGAGCCCUGGGAGCAGAGUCAGGUGUCACUGCUGGCUUCACUUCACACUAAUGGGCUCUGUUUGCUGCUACACACAGCCCAUCAAGGUCCAAGAGACAUCUAACAUAACCAUUGCAGAUACUGUGGUAGUAGGUAACAAUGAGAAAGCAAGUCACAUUUGUUGAGCACCUAAAAAAUGAAAACCUCUUAGAAGAAGGAAGUGGCCACAUUUUAAUGAGGUAAGAGGAUAAAUAUUACAUGAUUCAAACUGGGGAGGGUGCAUUUGUACUUUUAUUCAGUUUGUAACCACUUUUUAUUCUUAGAUCUUCGGUGUCUAAUAAAAAGAACAUGAAUUGUAAGUCAAAUGCUUUUAAUUAAGAUUCUAAUGAAUCUACGAUUCAUAUCUCAAAUAAAAGAAGUAUAAGUGUUUUCCAGAUCAGCAACUAAGGAAGAUGAACAGAGGGGUACACUUAAAUGUACCCACUGGAAGCCAGCACUUAAGGUCAAUACACAUUCCUAAAUCUAUGAUGUCUGCACCCUUUUUACAGGUGCCCAUGCUAAGCUACAAUAGUCUUUCCUCUCCAACUCUGUGUAAUACUUUUCUCGUACAAUGAUAUUACUGUUUGAUUUUGUAUUUUGUGCAAUAAUGCCGUGUGUGUGUGCUUCAGCACCCUGCCCUCACAGCUGGGCAGAGGCGAUACCUUUACAGCAUAGCCAAUGUCUACAGCAUGGAGCACAUGAGAUGACAGAUGAAGCAGCACUAUCUCAAUGUGCUGCACACAUGCCUGCAGUCAGGUCAGAAAUCCACCUGCAGAUGGAGGCAUCAGUAUGGA